rnacentral:lncRNA from 1 species
GAGAGUUUGAGCAGCAAGCACGGGCACUGCUGUGGUGACCAUCGUGGCCCUCACAAAGCCCUUUCUUUUUUAUCUCUUUAGAGAGAUAAACUAGCACCCCCUUAUUUGGCUGCGAGGGCCGGAGAGCUCCUUUGGGGAGGGAGAUAUGCCUCGCUGGGCCUGUAGGUCUGGACCUGAGAUUCUUGUUAUUAACUUCAACGCGGUCUGGUGAUCUCCCCUGUUGAUGCAGUCCUUUCAAUGCCAGGGAAAGCCAUGUCCUUAGAAAGGGACUGUUUGGCCCAGCCUUCCCGGAGAUGGAGGCUUCCUGACGUUUCCAAAGGCCACUUUGGCUUCUCUAGAGGGCUGGCCUGGUGCACUCAUGCAAGAUGAAGCUAGCCUUUCUCAUCAAGCUGGAAAGCGGCACUGCAAUUUCUCGCUGUAACCUCUGGUUACUCAAUGGCUCCGCAUCCCUAACAAAUGGCCCAUGGAGAAUGAAGCCAAAAACAGAGGACCACCUUCCUAACGAGUGAUUAUGUGGAAAUUUAGAUGCCAAAGGUGGAGACCAAAGCAUAUGGCUUUGUGAUGAGCAGUGUGAUUUGCCAGGGCUCAGAAGAUGGAAGGAGAUAAAUAACAGCAGUAGUGGGGCUAUAUCUAGGGAAGAGAGAUGAGUGGAGUUCCAUGUCCACCUGUCAUAGGUGCCCUCCAAAUGCUCUUCAGAGUUGGCGGGGGGGGGGGUCAGGGCGUCUGGAUGUGUUGCUAUUUUCCUUUGACUUAAAGAGAACUGUUUGUAUCUGUGUCUCCCUGUUGCUAGUGUGGAAUUCAGCCUGGGCUGUUAAUCUAGAUAUUUCAGAUAGUGCAGAAGAUCAGCUGUAUUGGCUUGUUCUUACAGUAGUGUGAGAAAACUUGAAAAUAAAAUAAAGGAUGAUUAAUCACCACCCCCCCCUUGAUGGGGGGAUAUCCUUCUGUAUAUAUGUUUCUCUCACUGAUUGAUGAGCAAAAUACUGUUUGGCUAAUAGAGACAGGAAGAUAG